rnacentral:rRNA from 1 species
GACGAACGCUGGCGGCGUGCUUAACACAUGCAAGUCGAACGGAAAGGCCCUGCUUUUGUGGGGUGCUCGAGUGGCGAACGGGUGAGUAACACGUGAGUAACCUGCCCUUGACUUUGGGAUAACUUCAGGAAACUGGGGCUAAUACCGGAUAGGAGCUCCUGCUGCAUGGUGGGGGUUGGAAAGUUUCGGCGGUUGGGGAUGGACUCGCGGCUUAUCAGCUUGUUGGUGGGGUAGUGGCUUACCAAGGCUUCGACGGGUAGCCGGCCUGAGAGGGUGACCGGCCACAUUGGGACUGAGAUACGGCCCAGACUCCUACGGGAGGCAGCAGUGGGGAAUAUUGCACAAUGGGCGGAAGCCUGAUGCAGCAACGCCGCGUGCGGGAUGACGGCCUUCGGGUUGUAAACCGCUUUCGCCUGUGACGAAGCGUGAGUGACGGUAAUGGGUGAAGAAGCACCGGCUAACUACGUG